GUAAUGUCAGAACUGAGCUGCCCUAAUUGCCAUUCAACUUCGAUAGACAGUAAAGACUACCUGGCUAUACCGCGGUUGAAAAAGCUGAAAAUGACUUUUUGCGCUUUGUGCUGCGGUAGACGAUAUUGCGGAAAUGGCAUUUAUAAAAGGGUUUGCAAGUGCCGCACCUGUGGCUGGAAAUGCGAACCUUUCAGGUUACCCUAAGAUAAAAAUAUUCCUGUAUUAAAAAAUUAUAAAUAUCUGUUAUCAGCUGUUGAACUUUAUGUUAAUCUGAACAGUCGAACUGCGAGCAUACUAAUACGUUAUUCCAUCUUGAAGUAAAAAGUAUCUACUGAUUUACCAUACAUCCACAUGGGUUAUUUCACCAUUUGGGGUGAUUCAACCGCCAGCAUUAGACUUGCACUUGCCAGCAAUGCAGGAAACUUGCAACGCAAAUGGGCAGUGCAGUAUAGAGCUGAUUGCUGUGCUCAGCAGACCUCUAUCUAGGAUGGAGUCCAACAGAGAAACUGAAGAUCAAGGGGAAUCCCAAAGUAUACCCACUCCUCCUCCCCUUCCUCAACCACCACAAAUACAUCAACCCGCUGAGCAGAAAGACUAUUUUGUGAGGCCUGAGAAGUGCUAUAAAUGUCAAAAAAGCAACGCCAAGAAAAAUAUGACCUUUGAAGAUUACCAAAGAUUCCUAGGCCGCAGAGUAUGUGUUAUUAGAUAUUGCGAAAAGUGUUCACUGAAGGUAACUCGCCACAAUAACGAUUUCAAUUAACAAUAAAAUAUAUUUAAAUAUGUUAAAUAUAACAGUUUGUUAUCAGAUUCAACAGUGAAAUAAACCAACCAAUUCGGAAAAUUUAAA